AUUGGCUCUGCACAAUCUGCUGUUCCCUCUGCCUCCAACUCCUCCCCCCCUCCUCCCCUCUUUUUCUGCCUCUUGGCUUCUCACCCAUCCCCCGCUGGCCCUCCACCCAGCCCCCACCCUGCCACGGGGGCGCUUCGGCGCCCUCCCUGGGAGAGAAGACCCAAUCCAGCAGUGGGGGUUGGCUUCCAGGCCAAGAAGACCCGGCGAGGUACAUAAAGGUUGCACAGUUGGGGAAGCCACGAUAGCGCCGACCACUCAUAACUCCAUCCGGUCUUGGCAUUUCCAGAGGCGCGUGGGAGGGGACAUGGCUACCACCGACAGAGAGCAAAGCUGAGCGGGGCCGGCUGGCCCGCCUCCCUCCCCAGCAGGCGCCUCUGUAGACCCUGCUGGAACAAUGGCUCUGCCUCGCCCACCAGCUCCAGGAUGCUUACCAGAUAAUACUCGGAGCUCUGGUGCCAUAAUCAAGUUUUCAUAGAUCUGUGGCCUGCCCAUUCACACUAGGCGCAGUUACUAAGGUCACUCACUGUACACAGCCACGGUCAGUCGGCAGUAUCCAACCCCACCCCCCAUCUUCAUGCUUUCCAAAUGCACGUGGCACCUUUGGGAGACCCUUCUGUCAGGCUGGAGUUCUGCAGUUUUCUUUAUGGAAAAAGACCAGGAAACAGCAGGCCCGAACGAUUACUGCAAGCCUCACUGUGACUGCGCAGUGGGUACUCCAUCUUUCCACUUUUAAACCCGAGACACAGAUGAGAGAGCUUGCGAGUGGUCUCCUCAGCCACUGUGUCCUUGGCUGCUAAAACAAACUCCCUUAGACUGUGAGGCAUGAACAAGAGAAAUCAGUUUCUCACCGUUUUGGAGGCUGGGCAUCUACAGCAAAGCACCAGCCUAAAGUGGGCCUCGGAUUCAUAGUGAUGCAGGAGCUAUUUGGUACAGCGAUGCACAGUGUAUGAAGAUGGACGUGAGCUGUAACAUUCCACUGUGGAGCAGGACACACGGUCUUACGGCACUUUUAAUCUUGACCCUUCAACUCAAGAGAGUAAGCAUAAAAUACCCCCCACUUAGGCAUCUUAAAUAAUUAAGUUAAUUUUAAUUACAGGGAGUUCCUAUUGGCCAUGGGAUGAAGCCUGUACUUCUUACCAUGACUUUGGAGGCCCUCUGGACCCUGGACCUUCCCUGCUCAUGUAUUUCCCUUAAAUGUCCUCAUUUCUCUUCAGUCCCUUGAUAUUUCACUGUUAAAACCUACAAACAUUCCUUUCCUUUUGCCUACAGCAUUCUGCCCCUCCAGCCUUUACCCACUGUCGACCUUACUGAUUCCUGGUUGUUCUUUUUGGUUUUGUUUCUAAAUUACCCAAUGGUUUACCAGGCUGGCUCUCCAUGUCUUAUGCUCUUUAAGACCUUUGUGGCUUCUGCUUUUCUGACAUUUGUACUGAGAUUUACAGAGAAGAUAGGCUUGAGUGCCUGACCCAAGAGGGACUUUCAGUGGGUAUUUGUUCAUUGAAUUUGUUACAUCCAUCGUAAUAGGAGAUAUUUGAAAUAUUACCUCCUCAUUAUCUCUUCCAGGACCAUUCUCUUUUAAGCAAUAGAUGAGCAUUAUAGCAAAGGUUGUUUUGAAAAGAUGCACCUUCAAGGUGUGUAUUGUUUCUUUACUUCUCAACCAGGAAGACAAGUCAUAGGAAUUUCUAGGUAGGGAGAAGUGGGGAGUGGAGGUGUGGCACAUGAAUGGCGACUCUUUGGUCUGGCAUCACUCUGGGGCCUUGCAGUCAGUCUCAUACUGCGGCAUGCUUUCUACCUCUCAUUUCUAAGCCAAAGGCAGGAACUAGCCAGGCAAAGAGAAUAAAGAGGAGGGGGCCACAUACUGGACUCUGAGCUGGCUUCACUCUAGUUCAGGAAAGCACUUGCUAGAGGAACACCUUUCAGUUUUUCCAUGAUAAACGGCUGCCACAGUGUGAACUCAUCAUUCUCAGGGCGAGAGAAGAAUAAAAAUUACUGUAAGCAGUUAUUAUUCCCCAUCAUGUUCAGAUACAGAGUAAGCAUUUUCUAAUGCGGAGUUAGGUCAGGCUCUUCCCAUGAGCUCCAUAAGGAAUGUAAAUUAAUAGUCAUCUUUUUAUUCACUCUUCUCUUUCACUCCCCUCUUCUUCCUCUCUUUCUUUCUCCCUCUUCCUUCCUUCCCCUGCCCUUGCUUUCCUUCAUGAACAAUUCCAAUCCAAAGACAAUCGGAUAAGUAAAGUAUUUGUCCUCCGAGUGGUUGGACUUCCGGAGUGUAGAAGUGUCUACAAUUAGGUGCUGCCGUGUGAGCCACUGAAGAGUCCUUGUUCGAGAUGCUGUUUGGCACUGGGUGCUGGAGCCUGAGUGCAGAAAGCCAAGGACACUUCACUCCACCUGACCCCCACUCCGGGAGGAGCAGCCUGAUUCGGGGUGUUGGAUCCCAAGUACAAUGAGGAAGGUGACUGGUUGGUGAAGAAGGAAGGGGCCCUUUCGCAGUCUCUGGGAAUCUUCCUUCUGGAAGGGGCCCUUUCGCAGUCUCUGGGAAUCUUCCUUCUGGAAGGGGCUCUUUGAGAGAGGCUGAAGGUCAGCUCUGCCCAGUCAUUCUGUUCUGCUGUAGAACUCUGAACCAUCUGAGAAAUCUUACUCAAGACUUAGUUUUCAAGUUUAGGAAGGUAGUGUGUCAAGGUAAAAGGAACAUUCUAUUCUCAUUUUAUUGAAAUGUUCGUUAGCUUGCUUUAUAAACCCACAUGUGGGUGUUUCUUCUCUUGCUAGGGCCUUGGUAUCUUUUGUUUUCCACUCAUUAUUCUUAGGAGAUAAAUUAAGAAUGUAUGAUUUAAUAAGCUGUCUGUGGGCUAGGGGUGUAGCUCAGUGUUAGAGUGCCUGCCCAGCAUGUGCAAGGCCCCUUUCUAUCAGCGCUGCAAGAAAAAGAAGAAAAGAGUUGAGUGCUGCUGUUCCCAUGUCUCAUUUCCUUACUUGGGAGGCUGAGACAGGAGGAAUUUGAGUUCAGAACAAGCCUAGACUACAUUGUGAAGCCAUGUCUAAAAUAAUGAACAGCCCAGGCCAUUUAUCACGUCACUCUAAAUUGCUGUUACACGUUUAAUAAACCAGUUGGCACAGGGAUAGUUCAGGUAUAGGAAAAACAUGUGCCAGGCAGUUGUUAUAGAGCUACAGGUCACAAGUGGAAAUAGGCAGGCCUGGUAGUGAUGCCCCUUCCACAUGGUGGGACAGAUAUGCCCCUGUCUCGGCCCUGUCUAGACUGUCCCUCUGCACUUGUGGGAUAGGAUCUUCUGUGUGAGUCACUUUGCUCUACAAAAGCCAGGGUAUCACAGUCAACUUAUUCAAAGUUCAUAUUUUCAAAAUGCCCACAAUCUGUAUUUUUCUGAAAAGUGAAUUUUAAAACCACCCUUGUCUCCUUCUCUUCCUCUCUCUUCAUUUCCUAGGGCACCGUUCUCAGAUCAAGUUAAUGAGAAUUUCUUUUGGUUCUGGUAAGAAGCUUGUUACGGGGGAAAGUAGAUCAGUUUAUGCGCUUAGCUUUUGGCUUGUCAAAUCCAUCUCUAAGAAGGCUUUGCCAUGUGUCCUUCUGAAAAGUCAAAUAAAAACAAAUUCGAAUGAAGAGAGGAGGGAAUUUUUACAUUUUCGAGCAACGUUCAAGUUUAUUGAGGGAGAGUGUCCACAGAUUCAGGCACUAGUAGUGCAAGAGAGACAGAGGCAGGGAGAGGAAGUAGGUGAGGGCAGAGGGGCAGGUGAGAGGGGAAGAGAGAGGGCAAGAAAACACACAGAACACCAGCACACACGCAGGCGGUGAGCAGGCCACCAGGAUCCUCAGAGGUAACGUGGGGCUGCUGAGAUGGCUCAUCGGGUGAGGCUGCUGGCCGCCAUGCCUGAGGAUCUGAGUGUGACCCCUGGAGCCCACACGAGGGAGAGAGAACCCCUGAAGUGGUCCUCUGACUUCCCCACUCAAUCUAUGGCAUGGCUCUCUUGAGCACCCAUACACUCACAAAGUAAGUUAGUGCGAAAAUCAAAGCGAAAACAAGCAAAUAAACACAAAAAUCAGGCGGGGAGGAACUCAAUAAUUAUUUAACUUUUUAAAACGCUCAGAAGAACGAACCAUUUUUGAGUAGGAAAGGCCAAUGAAUGUCAUUGACGAUACAAUAUGAAACUUGGAAAAAGUGAAGACAGCAUUUUUUUUUUUUUCCAAGACAGGGUUUGUCUGGCUACCCUGGAACUCACUCUGUAGACCAGGCUGGCCUCGAACUCACAGAGAUCUGCCUGCCUCUGCCUCCCAAAUGCUGGGACUAAAAAGCAUGCGCCACCACCACCAUGAAGGCAGCAUAUCUUAAAAAACGGUUUCUCCUGUGACUAAUCGGGAAUGUGCUUCUCCGAAACAACGAAGUAGCUGGGUGUUGGUUGCUGCCAAAUGUGGAGACAGAGACAAGUGGGGGAGGCAGAAAAGGGUCAAGUGGCACUCAUGAGUAGUGUGUAAAGCAGGAGAAGAAAAGUAGUGACCAGGUCCAGAACAAAGAAAGGUGUGCACUAGUGAGGCCACUGUGUGAACAGUAUUUACAGGCUCCGCAGUUCAAACACUAGUUACGAUUUAACUACAACCAUGGCACAACUGUAUCGAGAAGAUGGAGAAAAUGAAGUGUGCAGGUUCCUACCUGAGUGAUCGGACGUGUGGUGGUCACCACAGUGGUGAGUGUUUAAAAAUUACAUUUCCAUCUUCCAAGGCGAGAGGUCAGUAAAUGAAAUUCUUAAGUCAGUUAAUCGUGAUAUAAGCAUGUUUUUUAGAAACACAGAAAGGAAUGCCAGGAGCCAGCCAAAAAGAAUUCAGAGAUGUUCUUCUGAGGGAUGAAAUGGAGAGGCAAGUGGGGCGCUACUGUUUCUGCCUCUGCCUCUCUGUGUCUCUCCCUCUCUGCCCUGCCUCUGCCCCACCACACUGGGCUACAAGAGACUUUUUACAUGAACCAAGUCCUUCCCUGAACCAGUCAAUCUCAAUCUCUGUCUCUCUGUCUCUGUCUCUCUCUCUCUCUCUCAAGUCUCCCAGUGUAGCCCAGCUAGCCUUGAGCUUUUUAAAAUAUUGAGAAUUGUAUACACACAUACAAAGCAUUUUGAUCAAAGGUAGCCUUUAACUCUUGAUCCUUCUGCCUCAGUUUCCCGAGUUUACAGUUAUGUGACACUAUGCCCAGCAUCUCCCAAAUCUCUUAAGACCUUGU